UUUUAUAAAAUUCUUUACAUGCAAUAUAUAUUUAGAUCUGUAACUCUCCUGUAUAGGAGUUACGAUAUCGCCCUUUGCAGAAAUGGAUGCGGAGCCGGUUCCCUCACAUAAUGGGAAAGCAAAGAAGAUGCAGUCCUCCAGAACUAACAGAGACGAUAAAUUUUUCAAACAUUAAAAUAUUUUUAAGCUUCUUAGUCUAGGCAGUAUUUUCGACUUUUGAAUGCAAAUGCAUCAUGAAUUAAAUGGGCAAAGCAAGGUGUUCUGAAGACUGCAAAAGACUUUCUUUACCAAAAUCCAUGGUGAAAGUCAUUGAGGCAUUGAUCACUAUG